UCAGUCUAUUCCGGGACCAGUCUGACAGAGCGAAGUCACGAAUACCUUCAUCCUGUCAAUCACCGAUGCAGUAGAACCACCGACAAACCUUCAAAGCAGCUCAUAUUGACCGUAACAAUUUAUCACGUAAUCACAAAAAUGGAUAUGAACGAUGAACUGUCAAACACCACCACUAGAACCUUCUCUAACUACACUUAAUUUAAUUGAAGUUUGGUAAAACAAUGAUAAAACUCUCGAGGACAUUAGGGAAUAAACAGUGAGAAGAAGGUUCACGGGGUUAAUUGGCGGUAGUAUCGUGACCGGUCCGUGAACGCGUUAAAAAGCUUCUAGAAGCGGCGUUUCCGUCCUUCCUACUCGGGCGUGCUGAGGCCGAGCGGACACUGAGCGUGCUCUGGGACCGCUUGGCAGCCGGAGAAGUGCGGGGUAAAGGCGGCUACUCGGCUGGAAAGCCGCUUCAGGGAAGGGGGAACGAGGGCCCGUUCUCGAACUCUAGCUGCUACGCCGCUGCGUGUAACUUCCACGCCGCCAAUACGCGCUCGCUUGUCCCCACCACCACGCCGCGGGCCCUGCUGAGCUUCCCGAUAUAUUUAUAUUCGUUUCUAAUAUGUGUGGCGUGUCGGGACUCGACGCCUCGCCGAAGGGCCCCGUUCGAGUACGCGCGCGCGCUCCAGUCAUGUCGGUCCAGCAUCGUUCCACGAGGGACUGUGCGUGCCGUGACCACAACCGCACCCCGAGGCUAUAAUCUGCUACGACGCUAUCGCCCGAAUCGAUUCUCUCCUGUGGAUAUCCUUGGAGAAUGCAGGAACGUUUCUUGGGGACAAUACAGGGCACUCUCAGUGACACGUAAACUGGACUGCAGAAGCAAACAUAGCCUCGUCGUUGGCGAUGUCCCGCAGGCUCACUGCAAGUGGUUGCAAAUGUUCGUCGUAAUGACGCUGCCGUUUUUCUGGAGUAUAUCCACUUGAUGCCCUCGCCUUGCCCAAGAAACACG
rnacentral:misc_RNA from 1 species